UACGAAGGGGGCUAGCGUUGCUCGGAAUGACUGGGCGUAAAGGGCGCGUAGGCGGUUCGGACAGUCGGAUGUGAAAUUCCUGGGCUUAACCUGGGGGCUGCAUCCGAUACGGCCGGGCUUGAGUGGGGAAGAGGGUCGUGGAAUUCCCAGUGUAGAGGUGAAAUUCGUAGAUAUUGGGAAGAACACCGGUGGCGAAGGCGGCGACCUGGUCCUUGACUGACGCUGAGGCGCGAAAGCGUGGGGAG
rnacentral:rRNA from 1 species